rnacentral:rRNA from 1 species
UACGUAGGGGGCAAGCGUUGUCCGGAUUUAUUGGGCGUAAAGAGCGUGUAGGCGGUUUGGUAGGUCCGUUGUGAAAACUCGAGGCUCAACCUCGAGACGCCGAUGGAAACCAUCAGACUAGAGUCCGGAAGAGGAGAGUGGAAUUCCUGGUGUAGCGGUGAAAUGCGCAGAUAUCGGGAAGAACACCCGUGGCGAAGGCGGCACUCUGGGACGGUACUGACGCUGAGACGCGAAAGCGUGGGGAGCGAACAGG